rnacentral:misc_RNA from 1 species
UCCACACGUUCGCGUGCGGUGAUCAAGGCAGAGAGGUCGCACCAACAUACGUCACCGGUUUCCUGGUGGCUGUCUUCUGUGGUGCGCGUGCGCUCUUGCGCUUCUUUCUUCGUAAUUCAUAAGUGGCGAGCGGACAGUAAGCUGUCGAAGCCCCUGUAAGACGUGAAGCGUCCUUCGCUACCACAGCAUCCUAAUCGACGGCAUCAUUGAUAGCCGUAACCACGAGACCCAUUACUGCGCCCGUCCUUUCCUUUUUUGUUUCUGUCUCUGCUCAAUAUGCAGACCAACGUGCUGGAGCGUAUCCGGGCAUUGGAGGCAGACAUCGAGCGCUGCAUCGACUCCAUCGUGCAACAAGACCUGUUUGCAGCGUCCAUCGAAAACGAGAGGCACCGCAUUCUGCUCGACCACUUCACUCUGCAGCAUGUUGGAAUCGUCCGUUCCACUGCGGAGAAGCUGCUCGACGUGUACUUGGACGAGGACGACAUUGUGCAGGUCCAGAAUGCGCCGGCGGAGAGCCCCGACGACAUCGCGGCAGCUGUAAAGGAGUUCGAGGCGAAGAUCGCCGACAUCCGCGAGUAUCACCACAUCUACCGCGAUCUGCCACCCGUAAAGGAUGAGCUCGCCGUGCCUAGCCCAAGGCUGCUCGAUGACGUCUUCACCGUCCACGAACGCUACGGGGCCUGCUUCGAUAUGGACGCGCACUACAACCGCUACAGCGCCUUUAUGGUGCACACAAAGACGCUGGCGGAGGGGUGUGCUACGGCGUCGGCGGAAGUAAAGAAGGAGCUGGCCCCGCUGUCGCCGUCCUCAGUUCUCAAGUGGUCGUCGAUGUGGCCUGGUCGUUUGGACUUUUUCAGCUUCACAAAGGCGCUGCCGCAGCUGCUGCUUCACGAGGUCGAGGCACACCGCAAGAUUGUAGGCUUUGCCCUCUACAAGCCCUUUGUUGCGGAGCUGCUCGCCUACCUGGAGGGCUUCUACCGUCGCAUCCAUCCUCUUAAGCCAGCUGCGUUGGAGCGUCUCAUGGCGGAUGUGGAGAGUGAUGCGGAGAAGUACUGGGCGUCCCUUGUGGAGGCCAAGGCAGAGGUUACGAGCGUGACGGCGGCGGCGGCCGCAUCCACAGAGGAUGAGCAAGUUGAUGUGCAAAAUGUAGAAGACGAGCGAGCGGAGGAGAGGGAGACAGGCGGUGCAGCAGCGUCGUCGUCCAAUGGCCAGACGGCAGCGCCGGCGCGCAUUGCGGUCGAGAACAAGGUUGCCUGCGGACUUGCGAUCCCGCCAUCGCUGCGGCAGCAAGUCAAAAAAUUUAGCCUGUGGCCGUUGCCCUUGAUAGAGAAGCUGAUAGAGGACGUGGGACAGGCGAGCGGCACCUCUGACGGUGCCGCGGCGUCGACGUCCAAGUACCCCACAAGCGUCACCGACGUGAAGACGGUGUGCCUCAUGGAGGCCAAGGCCGCCGCUCUGCUGCAGUCGCUCCUCUACACCACUUUGGAGACGACCAACAAGUCGCUUUUGCGCGACUACAGCCGCACCUUAGAGGAGCUGGAGAAUGACCGCGAGGUGGCCGAGCAAGAAUUCCUCGACUCAUUGGAGGAGGUGCGCAAGAACUCGGCAGACACGAUGGAGGGUACCGUGGCCCACGCGGCGGAGUAUAACUUGAAGCUCGCUCUCGAGGACAGCAAAGGCAGUCGCCGUGGCCGGCACGGAAAGGCGAGUGCGCCGGCGCCCGUCUCGCCAGCCCCGGCUGCACCAGAGCUGCCGUUAGAGGAGGAAGAGGAACAGCUGAUCGGUGAAAACGGCGAGCCCAUUCCCCGCUGGCUCGCACAGCUGCAUCAGCUGGACAAGAUGUUCCGCUGCGACGUGUGCGGUGGCACUAUCUACAAGGGCCCGAAGGUGUUUCGCGAGCACUUUGGCGCGGAGCGCCACGCGGAGGGUCUGCGCCGCCUCGGCGUGAUGCACCGCCUGAAGAGCUACGAAGGUAUCACUUCCAUUCGACAAGUGGUCGAGAUGCGGGAGCGGCUCACCGGGGGAGAGAGCGGCUUUCGAAAACGACUGCGAGACAACACCGACAACGAGGAAAUCCAAGAUGCUCGCGGCCACGUGGUGACAGCAAAGGAGUAUCUUCGCCUGCAGCAGCGUCGGCGCUGAUCACCACGCUUGGCCAGCUCUCUCCCCUAAAACGCGGCGCGACGGAUCACAAAGCGAGAGAAGAAGAGGCGGCUUUGGGCAGGAAGAGGAGCCGUGGUGCGCUUGUGGUCAUGCCACACACCGCCUGCUUGGCAAUGAGCUUGUCUUGUGACGCUUCGCUUGCUGCACGCGGAGUGCGUUGCCGUGACGAUGAGAUGAGCACCUGCCGAGUCGGAAAGAGCUCCGACGCACCUGUGCGAGCUCGGGGUUCUUCGAUGUAUUCCGCUUGCUUUCUUGGUUGAUGAGAGUGGUGGCGUGGUGCGCAGGUUCGGCGCCGCCUGCGAAGAGU